ACCGUGGUACGCAUUCCAGUUCACUUCAGAAACCUCCAGCCGAUUUAUGGUGAAGGAUCCUUCCUUUUCAACCUCACAUUUUACUUCAGCUGGGGAAGGUGUAUAUUGAGGAAUAUUGAAGGAAUCCAUCUUCUCCUCAUCUAUGAGCCCCUGCAUUUAAAAAUGGUUAAUUAAUUUACAUGCAAUUUCAUAUAUAGUUACCACACAGGUGCUGUUGCUGAAUGAUUUGAUCUAUACAAAUUGGCAACAUUAAGGGAUGAAAGAAUUAAAACUGUACCUCUGAAACCAUAUCAUUGAGAGCCACAGCUAAGAGCUCCCAGAUAUAGCAACAUUCUUUGCUAGAGGGAUCUUCACUUCUUCUUCCUAAAAAUGUUAAAACCAUAGUCCCUCCUCCUAGUAGUUCCUCCGACCGACACCUGAGAAACAUGGAGAAAUCGCUUUGGAAUUGCUCAUAGUAUGCUUUAAGCACGCUUGGUGGGCUCGAACUGGCCAUGUAAAUAUUCCCUUUGUUCUCCAGCCCUCGAGGAACCUGACGAACAAUUGAAGUUUCUAACUCACUUGCUUUCUUUUUGGUUACUAAUAAAUCAUCAUAAACCAGUAUUUUUAAUUAAAAGCAAAGAGUCACCUGAGACAACCAUUGGAGACUGUAAGAAGAAUGGACAAAAUGAAGACUUUUGCUGGGGAAGAGCCUGCAGUAGAAAGAGCCUGGAACUCCGGUUACAAAACAUGAUUCAGCGCCUGCUCCCAUUGUUUUCUGAAGAUCUUUCUGGAACUUGGGCAAGGAUUUGAAAAUGGUGUUGAAAUCAUUUCCCGGCAGAUCAUUCAAAAACACUUGAAUUUCGGGCAAUUGACGCCCCAUUUUCUUCCCCACCUUGUCCACUGUAGUGACAACUUCCAAGACUGCAAAAAAAGUGUUGGGUCCAGAAGAACAGCCCAAGUCUGCGAUGCAUAGGCUGGCCGGGAAGUUGUUGCAGUAGAGAUUUGUUAUGGCGUCCUCGAUUAUAGGCUUUGUCAAGGAUAUUACUUUUUUCUGCACCAUUAAAGUGGAACUUGUCAUAAUUGAAAACUUUUCAGAAAAACGGCAGUAUAUUGUACCUGCGUGAUAAAAACACAAAAUCUGGAAGUGCAUGGGUGCUACAGAUCAAUCAGCAUGUCUUGACUAUUCAUUCUUUAAUUUAAGAAAAGGAAACAGUGCAUAUAUAUAAUAUAUACAUGUCAGCUGAUGCUUAAAUAUCGAAGAAGAAUUAAAUUUAGCAAGAGACACACCUGAACUAAUGAGUUUUCUGCGUAACUGGUGUCCCCAUUUCCUCCCUUCAUGCAAAGCACUUGAGCUACUUCCAUCUCUUUCUUCCUGCCUCUUCGCUGAUUGCUUCCUCUCAGUUGGAAUGUGGAUUAUGUUGAAGGAGAUGCUCCCCAUUUAUAGAACUUGGAGCCACAUCUUAGUGGAAUUAAUUUUUUCAUCUUCUAUGGGCUCUACUUCCACCGAACCCCCGAUUGGCACUAGUGGAACUGAUAAUUCAGGAUUGAUGUCACAUUGUGGGUAGUCCUGAGUCCUGACGUCCACUAGAAGAUAGCACGCCACAUGCUGUCCACUAAUAUCCGGGUGGGUCCAUGCUACCUAUUCAAAUAUCUAGGUCGGCAACACUUCUGGGAAGAACUCUACAAAAUAAAAAUAGAAAUACUUUAAAAUCAUUCUAAAAAAUAAUCUAUUUUUAAAUACAAAAUCAUUAAAAUAGACUAAAACUUAAACCUAAAAGAUUCGAUUCAUAAUUUAUAUCAUACACUUUCUCGUACCAAACAUAUGGUAAACCUUAUUGGCUAGAUGAGGGCGAAUCUGCCUAUGAGAGUGAUUUUUUUUUUUUUUCAAUAUUUCUCCAUUUUAAAAUUUUUUUUCAUACAUUUUUAUGAUUUAUUUUAUCAUUUGUUAAAGUGGUAAGCAAUCAUUAAAUACACAAAAUAAUUUUUUAUUUUAUUUAUUUAUAUUAUAUCUUCAACUUUAAGAGUGAAUUACUUUAACAAAGGAUAAAAUUAAGAACAACCCAUAAUAAGUACAAGGACAUGAGUCUACUUUAUUUUAACAUUGAUGCCUCAGUUCUAGUAUGAACAUUAGACCAUGUCUCAGGGAAAAAGUCUAAACCUUGUUCUCACCGAGAAAAGUAAAAGGGGGAAAGUGUGAGAAAGGGUGAGAAAGUGUAAAACUGAUGCAGCUUUUUGCAGGUGUCUGCGACAACAUGAGAGACUUAUUGCAUUGAGUUUUGUUCUAAUUGGCUAGAUAUGCCAUCAUUUCCCCUCCCCCCCCUUCAAAAGAAUGUCACAUUUUAUGUUUCACGUGAAUCAUAUCUGCUAAUAAUUUGAGGCGGGUGUUUUAUUUAUUUCCUUUUCCUACACCUACGAAACUUCAAGUGCAUGAUUGACAGAUUUCAAAAAUAAUACUACUAACAUGGACAUGUGGGCAUGAAACACGAUGAUGGAAGUAGGACAAGGUCAAGGUUGGCGCAUGGGUUGGCCGCAGCUACCUUAAAACAAAUUGGUAUUAGUUAUCGGCCACAGAAUAUUGGAGGUACCACAGGAGCAUGACGCUUUCUGAACAACCCUGCAGGCGUUUGUUAGCUGACGUUUCCAUGCAUGACACCAUCUGCCUCAUUUUUUCUUCAAUCUAAUGUGAAGUUUGUCUCCUCUUAUCUUCUUUUUCAAAAUAAUAUCCAUUCAAAUAUGCCAACCAAGUCAAUUUUAGUUGAAAAAUAGCUAUCUGCAAAAAGUUGUGACCGUGGAGGAAAGACGUAACUGAUCUACCACAUGAUGAACUAGUUAAGAUCCCAUGAAUAUUAAGUCAACGGUUUGGUUGGUAUCACAAAGAACAGAUCUUAUCACUAAAAUUAGAUUUUUUUUUUUUUUUUCACACUAAAUGGCCAAGAGUUGGUUUGGAAGGGGAUCUUGGUAAAGUGUUUUUAGUUUUCAACACUUAUAAGUAGAAUCAGUUAGUGUAGUAAUAUUUUUAAUUAUGUGUUGUAUAACAAAAAUUCAUUUUUGAAAUAUGAUUAAAUGUUUCUUUGGAUACACUCUUAUUUUUUGUUUUCAUGUUGAAGACACCAAAAAAACUAACUUUUGGCAAGACCCAUGAAAUUCAAAGUUCAUUCAUUGGAAAGGAUCCGCCCAGAUCUGGUUCCAAAACAAUGGUAAAUUUAUCACUUUUUUUCAUUGACCAUAUCAAAGUGUAAUACCCCAAACCCUAAAUAAAAUCAUAAUUCAAAAAACUCUUUUACAUAGAGAUGAGAAAUAUCAAAGAACAUAGAACUGAAGAUUUGGAGGUUUAGGGUUUGAGGAUCAAUUUUUUCGGGUAAGAUUUUUAAUCCUUAAAUUAAUAUUCUAUAUUCAUUAAUUAGUUUUAAACACUUUAGAUAUUCUUUACAAUAUCUCAAUUUUGAUUAGAGUUCGUUUAAUUAAUUUAUAAGUCAAAAAGAUUAAAAAAUUAUAAACAUAGUUUGAUUUAUUAAUGGAGAUGGACAAAUUUUGAUCACUCAAAUGAAUAGAUCUAGAAAAAAAAUAUAAUAAAUAAAAAAAAUAAGAGUAGUGUGAUUUUCUAGAACAGUGAAGAAAAAAUUAUAAUUAUAAUAAUAUAGAUGUGUGUCGUGUAGUAGAGGGUUUAAAAGAAAAAAAAAAAAAAAAAAAGAAUGCGUGUGUACAUCUAGGAAAUGAAGAAAUAAAAGAAGAAGAAAAAACAAGUGUUAUUAUUAUAAUAAUAAUAAUGGGCGUAGUUGGUGGCUUGGAGUAACGGUGUUGUAGGGUUUUGAAAAGUAAUAUUAAUAUUAAUAAUAUAUAUAUAUAUAUAUAUAUAUAUAUAUAUAUAUAUAUAUAUAUAUAUAUAUAUAUAACACAUUAAGACUAACAUGCCGAGAAAUGUAUAUUUUAGCAAAUAACAUGUUAAGACAUGUCAUUAAGUUGUAUUUAUAAAAAUUGAUGUACCUAUAAAUAAAUAAAGGAGUGAAUAAAAAAAAAAAAUUGAUCAUCUCCACGUUUUUCUUUUUAAAAUUUUCAUUACCUACAAAUGGGAAUAAAAAAAUACAAAAAGUUCCUUGAGAUUUUUAAAAUUUGGUUGAAUAUAGGAUUCCCAUUAGGAUGCAAACAUAUGCUAAAGACAACUACACUUUCAAUAUCGUCUAGAUUUAAUAAUAUGUUUGACAAUAAAACAUCGUGUCACAAAGGGGGAAUCUACACAAAUUGGAUGGAUACUUGAUCAUGGAAAGCUUAUUUUAGUGAGGCUUACACGCACGUUCUGAAAUAUAAGAGUAAUAUAUAUAUAUAUAAUGUAUAUAUAACGUAUAACAUGUGUUCUAAUAAUAGUAAUAAUAAUGGGCGUUGGCUUGGAGUAAUGGUGUGCCAGGUCUUUAAAAGUAAUAUUAAUAUUAAUAAUAUAUAUAUAUAAUGUGUGUAGUUGGUUAAGUGAAAGUUGGAUUAUGGGAAUAAUAAUAAUAAUAAUAAUAAUAGUUUUAUGUAUAGGUUUUAAUUUAAUUUAAGUAUAUAAAGAAAUAAAUAGUGAGGGUAAGAUUAGGAAAGAAAAUGAAUUUUACAAUAAUUUGAAAACUCUGUAAAUUAAUUUAUUAUUGUUUAGCAAGUUGAAAAUAAUAUUGGGUAGUAAUAAUAUUAGCAUGAGAAAUUAAUUAGAAUCCCUAAUACUAAAUAAAAUAUUUUUAGGAUUGUGAAAUUUUUACCUUUAGAUAAUUGUGUAUGAUAUUAUGUUAGGUGAUGAGUAAAUUCGUUCAGCUAAGUACUUCAAGUUUUUGAGCACUUCUUCAAGGUAAGGGAAAUUAAUGCAAAUUUUUAUAAAAGAAAAUAAUUUUCUUUUUAUAUUGUAUUUUGAAAUGUGUAAAAAUAUUAUUUUUAUCUUUAUGCAUGAAUCAAAUAUGUGUUUUGUAUGAAAUGUAUAUUUGAACAUUUUCUUUGUUUAUAAAAAAUGAAAAAUUUAGGAGAUAUGAUGUUUUGUUUUGUAAGUUUGAAUUAAUGAUAUAAAGUGUUUGACUUUACAUUAUAUGACUCUAGUCAACGGGUUAUAAGUUCCCAGAUGAGGUCCCAACAUCAACAGUAGAGGCAACGAGGCUAGUAGUAUUAGAGACAUUCUUCAUUCUACGCUAGAGGUGAGUAGGGUGCUCAGAGGGCGGCUAUUGCUAAAGUAUGUUAUGGUUGUGGGGUAGGAGAUCAUUUAUGGAGGGCUUGCCCAUUAAGGGGUGCACGACAAGCUCAAUUUAAGCCAUAAAGAGGUCCUCAGCAACAACCAAUAUUGCAUUUCCAGCCUCCUCAAUUUCACCUACACUACUACCAGAUGUCGCAGUUAUCCCCAGUAGUGUAGGGAGCCUAGACAACCACUAUGAGUAGUCAGACUCCAUCUUCUCAAGGAUCGAGUGCUAGAAGUAAAGGGAGGCAGGCGGCAGGUAGAGUUUUUGCCUUGACCCCAAUAAAGUUAGAGAAUGACGUCAUUUUGGUGGAAAGUAUGGUUUUGGUCCAUAGUACUUAGGUGCGUAUUUUGUUUGAUACUGGUGCAACUCAUUCUUUUAUUUCUGUAUCUUGUGCUAAUAUAUAGGGGAUGAAAACGAAAAUAGUAAAAAAUCUAUUACUUAUCGAAUNNNNNNNNNNNNNNNNNNNNNNNNNNNNNNNNNNNNNNNNNNNNNNNNNNNNNNNNNNNNNNNNNNNNNNNNNNNNNNNNNNNGGGGAUGAAAACGAAAUAGUAGAAAUCCAUUACUUAUCGAAUCCUUAUGGGUACGAAUUCUAGAGUUGAUAGAAUAUGCAAGGAGUGCAUUAUUACCUUGGUAGAUAGAGCACUUAAGGUGGAUUUGAUGAUUUUGGAUAUGACUAGGUAUGAUGUUAUCUUGGGAAUGGAUUGGUUGACAAUGUAUAAAGCACUUAUUAAUUGUCAUCAUCGUAGGAUAAUAUUUUGUCUGUCAGAUGGAUUUGAGAUUUGCUUUGUUGGGGGGAAGUGUAUUAGUUUUGCCCUUUUCGCAGUCCGAUCCAUGCUAUUAGUAUGUGUUGAGGAAGGGAUCAAUAAAUUUCCUAGCUUGUCUUUUUAGUAAGGAAAAAACCUAGAAGGACUUUACAAAAAUUCUAUUAGUGGGGAAGUUUCAAGAUGUAUUUCCAGGUGAGCUACAAGGUUUACCACCAUAUAGAGAGUUUGAUUUCUCUAUUGAAGUAUAUCCAGGAACGGAUCCUAUCUCGGCAACCCCCUAUAGGAUGGUGCCUCUUGAGUUGAAAGAGUUGAAAACUCAAUUUGAGGAAUUGUUGAGUAAAAGUUUUAUUCGUCCAAAUACAUUACCAUGGGGAGCCCCAAUGUUGUUUAUGAAGAAUAAAAAUGACACAUUAAGGUUGUGUAUUGACUAUAGGAAGUUGAAUAGAGUUACUAAGAAGAAUAAGUAUCAUCUUUCAAUGAUAGAUAAUUUGUUUGAUCAGUUGAAGGAUGCGAAGUGUUUUAGUAAGAUUGACUUGAGAAUUGGGUAUCAUCAAUUGAGUGUUAGAGAAGAAAAUGUCCCCAAGAUUGCUCUUAGAACGAGAUAUGGGCAUUAUGAAUUCUUAGUCAUGCCUUUUAGGUUAACUAAUGUCCCCGCUGCUUUCAUGGAUUUAAUGAACAUAAUAUUUUGUGCUUGCUUGGAUUAGUUUGUGAUUGUCCUUAUGGAUGACAUCUUGAUUUACUCAAGGAGUUUGGAGGAGCAUAAGUAGUAUUUGGUGACCACCCUUAGAACAUUAAGAAGACACCAAUUAUAUGGAAAGUUGGACAAAAGUGAGCUUUGGCUUACUGAAGUGAAUUUAUUAGGCCAUGUGGUUUUUGAGGCAGUAGUAGUGGACCAUUCCAAGGUGGAAAUUGUGCAAGAGUGGCAAAGGCCUACAAAUGUAUUUGAGGUUAAGAGUUUCUUGGGAUUGGUUAGAUAUUAUAGGAUGUUUUUGGAAGACUUCUCUAGAAUUGCAACACCGAUGACUCGGUUGACUAGAAAAUGAGUGAAAUUUGAAUGGAAUGAUGAGUGUGAGAAUGCUUUCCAAGAGUUGAAGUGGAAAUUGACCACUAUUCUAGUGUUAACUACUCUUACUAGUGGAAAGUUGUUUAUUAUUUAAUGUGAUGUUUUUACAGUAAGGCUAUGGUGCGUGCUAAUGCAGCAAGGCAAGGUGAUAGCUUAUGCCUCAAGGCAAUUAAAGUCGCAUCAGCGGAACUAUCCAACAAAUUAUUUGAAGCUUGCAGUAGUGGUGUUUGCCCUUAAGACUUGGAGACACUAUUUGUAUUGAGAGAAGUUUGAGGUGUACUUUGAUCAUAAGAGUUUGAAAUACAUCUUCACUCAAAAGGAUUUGAACUCUAGUCAAAGAAGAUGGAUGGAGACAUUGGAAGAUUAUGAUUUUGCUCUUCAUUACCAUCUUGGAAAGACGAAUAUUGUAGUAGAUGCCUUGAGUAGGAAGAACUAUGGUCAAUUGCCUAGCUUGUGGUUGAGAGAGUUUGAGCUGCAUGCAGUUAUUAAAGAUUUUGAGCUAUGUCUUGGUUGGGAAGUACAGGGUCCAUGCUUGUAUAGUAUAUCGGCUAGACCAUUCAUUAUCCAAAUAAUAGUGGAGACCCAAUUUCAUGAUGAGCUUUUAGAAAAAGUUAAAGCCCAAUUGGUAGAAGGUGAAGCAAAUGAAAAUUGGUCUAUACAUGUAGAUAGGAGUGUGAGAUUUAAAGGAAUAUUGUGUGUGCCAAAGGAUGUAGAGUUGAGGAAUGAACUUCUAGUAGAUGCUGAUAAGGCAAAGUAUACCAUCCACCCUGAGAGUGCCAAAAUGUAUCAAGACUUAAAGAGAUAAUUUUUGUGGAGUGGGAUGAAAUGAGACAUUGCUCAAUAUGUAGCCAAUUGUUAGCAAGUGAAAGAUGAAUACCAAAAGCUUACGAGAUUGUUGCCAAUUUUACCUACACUUGAGUGGAAGUGGGAUCAUAUCACUGUGGAAUUUGUGAUAGGGUUGCUAAGAAUUAGAAGAAAAAAAAUGGAGUUUGGGUGAUUGUGGACUAUCUUACUAAGUCAACUCAUUUUCUAGCCAUGAAGACUUGACUCCAUGAACUCUCUCGUUAAGUUGUAUAUAUAGGAGAUUGUGAGGUUGCAUGGGAUACCUUUGUUUAUAGUGUCUGACAAGGACCUUAAGUUUACUUCUCAAUUUUGGCAGAGUUUACAAAGGGUUAUGAGCACCCAAUUGAAUUUUAGCAUCGCUUUUCACCCUCAAACAGAUGGUUAGUUAGAAAAAGUAAUCCAAAUUUUAGAAGACAUGUUGAGGGCUUAUGUUUUGGACUUUGGAGGGAAUUGGGUAGAGUUCGCUUAUAACAAUAGUUACCAAUCUAGUAUUGGCAUAGCACCUUAUGAAGCACUCUAUGAGAGACCUUGUAGAUCACCCUUGUGUUGAAUAGAGUUGGGUAAUUAAGAGUCGUUUGUUGGGACCUGAGAUUGUCUAAGAGACUAUGAAAAAAAUACAACUCAUCAAGAAAAAACUUAAGAUCACUCAAGAUAGAUAGAAAAACUAUGCAAACCAAAGGAGAAGGGCUUUGGAGUUUGGGGAAAAGGAUUGGGUUUUUAUUAAGGUGUCCCCGUAAUCAAAGUGUGAUGACAACACCAUGGGAUUGAAGAAGCCACUUGGGAUCAUGAAGAAGAAAUUAGGCAACAUUAUUCGCAACUGUUCUUUAAUUUUUGAGGUAAACUCGUUUAAAUUUUGAGACAAAAUUUCUUUCAGGGGGGUAGGAUGUAAUGAUUGAGUAUUUUAAGCCAAGUUGGAAUUUCAAGUUUGAAAAUUCUUCCUUUUUGGUGGUGGUUGAAAAGUCAAAAAGUAGUUGGAAAAUACGUGUCAAUUUUGGAUUGAUGGAAUUUGAAAGAUUUUAUUGGUCAAUCAAGCGAGUUGAAUUUUCGUGCCACGUUAGCUUUUUAGCAGGAAAUUUCUUAGGAUUGUAGAAAUCAAAUUUUUUUCCCGAAAAUCAAAAAGCGAAAACAAAAAUAAAAUAAAUAAAUAAAUUUUAAAAAUUAAAAUAUUUGUGUGGUGUGUGAUAAUUUAUUUUGUGUGUUGUAAAAGAAUGAAUUAAGAAAAGAAAAUGAAUUGAAUUAAGGAAAAAAAAAACUAAAUUAAUAUAAUAUAAUAUAUAUAUAUACAUAUAUUGUUUUUGGAUUGGGCUGUCACCACCUUUAGUGGCUCGUUUAAAUAGAAAAGAAAAAGAACGAAGAAAGUAGAAAAUGAAGGAAAACUUAUAGAAGAGUCUUGGUGACUGCAGUGGAAAAAAAAAAAAACUACUUUUCGAUUGGUUGUUUCAAUGGCCAAACAUCAUCCUUUUCACGUGAAAUUUUAAGGGAAUACUUUACUCGACACGAGGAACAUUCAUACAGUGUUGGAUUUUGUUUUCAACGAUUGGAUCAUUAGAUCUGUGGUAGACGGUUUUAACACUAAAACUUUAAUUAAAUGCCCUUUUCUUAACAAAAAUUAUUGUUUUUGUUGUUAGAAGCUAAAUAAACAAUAUUUGUGAUACGAGGAAUUUUAUUGGAUGAUUUGGGAAUUUUUUUAGAAAUUUUGUGAUGACGAUAUUUUUUUUAUGGUUGUUAAAUGAUUGUGCUUGGGUUAUUAAAAUUAAUGGGAUCAUUGAGGAUAAAUGAAAUUAUGGUAGAAAUUAUGUUGGAUUGAUAUUGGGUAUAUUGAGAACUAAUUGAGAUGUUUUUGGUAAUUUAAUUGUGAAAAUAAUUGUAUUUGGUUAUUGAAAUUAUUGGGAUUGUUGACAAUAAAAGAAAUUUUAGUAUACAUUGUAAUUUUAUUGAUGUUUGGAUUAGUGAGAAUUUUGUAUGACAUUUGUAGAUGAUGAUAUGUAAUUUCAUUGCAUUUCAUAUGCAUCAUGGUUGUGUGAAGGAAAAUAAAAAUUUGUUGUAAGGUUGUAUGAAAUAAAAAAGAAAGAAAAAUAAAAUAAUGAUGAAAAGUAAAGGCCCGUGAAAGGUGAAUUAAGAAGGGAGUGAGAUCCUUAGGGUGAAAGACCAAAAAUUUACCCCGGGAAUACUCUAAACUGGGAGUGUAUUUAGGUACAGACAUGUUUUCUUUAUUGAAAGCUCGAGAACGACAAUACUUUUUAUGACUGUGUGUUACAUAUCCACAUGCAUUUUAUUAAUUGUUGAAAAUUGCUGAAUUGCUAUAAUUAUAGAAACUAAAAUGUUUGGGUUGGUUAAAUUAUGGUAGAAUGUUUAUUUUUUUGUAUACUUGAACCUUAGUAAUCCCAAAUUAACCUUUCCUUGGGUGUAAAGCACUCUACUGAGUAAUGUGAAAUGCUCAUCAUUUCCUUCUUAUAUAUAUUUAAAUGUAGAUGUGAUUCAUGAGGAUCCACAAAUGGGACAAGGAGGGCUUUAAGACGCCUCAGAAGAUUUUGGAGCAGCAUAAUGAAUUGUAGUGUAGUUGUUAUGUUGGUUUAUUUUGGAACUUGUAUUAACAAAUUUUGAAAUUAUAUAUUUGUAUUGAGACUUUAUUUUGAUUAAUUUGCUUAUAUUGUGGACUUUCAUUUUAGACUUGAGUUGGAGAUUACAUUGUUAUUGAAUUUCUUUGUUGCUCUUAAGUAAUGAUUGUUAUAUUGAUAAAUUGGAAUGUUAGUUAAAGGAAGUUCUAGUGUGAUUUAUAUUUAAAAAAAGAAAAAGAAAAUUCAAAGCGUUUUAGUUUACUGUUAGCUUGGAUUAGGAGGAACCCUUAGGAUCAAAUCUUUGACUUUGGAUCAUGGGCCAAAUUUUGAGUCGCCCAAAAUUCGGGUCGUGACAGCUCUAAGUCCUCAACUAUGUACUUCAAAGAAUAAGGAAGAGAAAAAGAGAGUAUCCUAAUUUUAUGGGGUAAUGACGUCAAGGGUAUUUGCUUUUCUCAUUUGAUUUGUCAUUGUCUAUUUAAAAUAAAUUCUUUUCUAUGAUAUAGGGCUUGAUCGUGGUUUGGUUGAAUCAUCAACACUACAAGCGUACGUGUAACAUGGGAUUGCAACACUAGAAUGGGCUGCAUGCCUUAAUCCCUAUGCUGACUGUGUGAGGGUGCCUUAGUCCAUAUGUUGACGACGAGGGAUAUACAUACCUUAUAAUCAUUGUGGUCUCAAUGUCAUAUAUAUUUGUGGAUCGUUUUAAAGCAAUCCAUUUAUAUAUAUAUAUAUAUAUAUAUAUAUAUAUAUAUAUAUAUAUAUAUAUAUUUCAGAUUUUCCAAAAUAUCAAUGUGAAAAAUCUAGUUGGCUUUUUACAACACAAGAUUGCUUUAUAUAAAUCUUAAGGUAUGACAUUAAGACUAACAUGCCGAGAAAUGUAUAUUUUAGCAAAUGACAUGUUAAGACAUGCAUGUCAUUAAGUUGUAUUUAUAAAAAUUGAUCUACCUAUAAAUAAAUAAAGGAGUGAAUAAAAAAAAAAAUUUGAUCAUCUCCACGUUUUUCUUUUUUAAAUUUUCAUUACCUACAAAUGGGAAUAAAAAAAUACAAAAAGACGUUCCUUGAGAUUUUUAAAAUUUGGUUGAAUAUAGGAUUCCCAUUAGGAUUCUGACAAACCAAACAUAUGUUAAAGACAACUACACUUUCAUCGUCUAGAUUUAAUAAUAUGUUUGACAAUAAAACGUCGUGUCACAAAGGGGGAAUCUACACAAAUUGGAUGGAUACUUGAUCAUGGAAAGCUUAUUUUAGUGAGGCUUACAUGCACGUUCUGAAAUAUAAGAGUAAUAAAAUAAGCAAGGCAACAGUAGAUAAACGUGACCAAUGAAGCAGCCGCCAUGUUGACUGUUGGAUGAAGCAGCUUGCCCUGUUGAAUGUUGGUCAUCCACGCUUAGUCAUGAAAACCGUGACAUUUACGAAUUCAGUCUUCUCUCUGGUCAUGCGAUCAGCAACAAUCUUUUUGUACCUGCCGAACACUUCCUCUAUUAUUCCGUCACCGAAGUGGCUUACAAGCAAUGGCUCUGCAACUGCUCUCAUCAACUUGGCCACGUUGUAUCCACCAUCUUUAUGAGCAUCUGAUGGGCAGAAUUCACCGUGGUACGCAUUCCAGUUCACUUCAGAAACCUCCAGCCGAUUUAUGGUGUAGGAUCCUUCCUUUUCAACCUCACAUUUUACUUCAGCUGGGGAAGGUGUAUAUUGAGGAAUAUUGAAGGAAUCCAUCUUCUCCUCAUCUAUGAGCCCCUGCAUUUAAAAAUGGUUAAUUAAUUUACAUGCAAUUUCAUAUAUAGUUACCACACAGGUGCUGUUGCUGAAUGAUUUGAUCUAUACAAAUUGGCAACAUUAAGGGAUGAAAGAAUUAAAACUGUACCUCUGAAACCAUAUCAUUGAGAGCCACAGCUAAGAGCUCCCAGAUAUAGCAACAUUCUUUGCUAGAGGGAUCUUCACUUCUUCUUCCUAAAAAUGUUAAAACCACAGUCCCUCCUCCUAGUAGUUCCUCCGACCGACACCUGAGAAACAUGGAGAAAUCGCCUUGGAAUUGCUCAUAGUAUGCUUUAAGCACGCUUGGUGGGCUCCAACUGGCCAUGUAAAUAUUCCCUUUGUUACUCUCCAGCCCUCGAGGAACCUGACGAACAAUUGAAAUUUCUAACUCACUUGCUUUCUUUUUGGUUUCUAAUAAAUCAUCAUAAGCCAGUAUUUUUAAUUAAAAGCAAAGAGUCACCUGAGACAACCAUUGGAGACUGUAAGAAGAAUGGACAAAAUGAAGACUUUUGCUGGGGAAGAGCCUGCCGUAGAAAGAGCCUGGAACUCCGGUUACAAAACAUGAUUCAGCGCCUGCUCCCAUUGUUUUCUGAAGAUCUUUUUGGAACUUGGGCAAGGAUUUGAAAAUGGUGUUGAAAUCAUUUCCCGGCAGAUCGUUCAAAAACACUUGAAUUUCGGGCAAUUGAUGCCCCAUUUUCUUCCCCACCUUGUCCACCGUAGUGACAACUUCCAAGACUGCAAAAAAAGUGUCGGGUCAAGAAGAACAGCCCAAGUCUGCGAUGCAUAGGCUGGCCGGAAAGUUGUUGCAGUAGAGAUUUGUUAUGGCGUCCUCGAUUAUAGGCUUUGUCAGGGAUAUUACUUUUUUCUGCACCAUUAAAGUGGAACUUGUCAUAAUUGAAAACUUUUCAGAAAAACGGCAGUAUAUUGUACCUGCGUGAUAAAAACACAAAAUCUGGAAGUGCAUGGGUGCUACAGAUCAAUCAGCAUGUCUUGACUAUUUAUUCUUUAAUUUAAGAAAAGGAAACAGUGCAUAUAUAUAAUAUAUGCAUGUCAGCUGAUGCUUAAAUAUCGAAGAAGAAUUAAAUUUAGCAAGAGACACACCUAUGAAAGUUUUAGAAACUGGGUUUUAGAAAAACCAAUAUUUCUCAUUGUCUAUUAGAAAAGGUGAUCCAUCUUUGUACACUGACGUUUUCUUAUAUUUAUAUCUACAACAACCUAAUUAACUAACUUCCUUCUUCGAGAUGUUCUUAACCGGCUUCUGUUUGUUGCAGCUAACCUUGGUUUGUUGCACCUAAUCUCGGUUUGUAGCAGCUGAUCCCGGACACUUACUUUCUUGUUGAUCAGCUAGGUAUCGUCUAUCAUCCCCCUGCAAGCUCACAGGGGAGGGAACAACAGAAAGCUUCGUUCUAAAACUAAGGAACUGGGAGCUUGAAAUAUCUUUAGUGAAAAUGUCAGCAACUUGUUCAGCGGAAGAAAGAUACUGAAUGAUGAGCUGUUUACGAAGAACAUGAUCCCGUAUAAAGUGAAGAUCCAUUUCAAUGUGUUUGGUCCUAGCAUGGAACACGGGAUUUGCAGCCAAGUGAGCUGCACUUUUAUUAUCACACCAAAGUAGAGGUGGAGAGAAGGAAGAGAGACAAAGUUCUUGUAGAACAUAUUGAAUCCAAAUAAUCUCUGAAGUAGCAGACGCAAGAGCACGAUACUCAGAUUCUGCACUGCUGCGAGACACAACCUUCUGUUUGUUGGAAGACCAUGACACUAAAUUCAGACCAAGGAAGAUGCCAUAGCCACCGGUGCUUCUUCUGUCAUCUGGACAAGAUGCCCAGUCGGCAUCAGUAUAUCCAUGAAUAUCCAACGAGGUGGAUUGUUGCAUCUGAAUGCCAUAGGAUAAAGUGCCUUUGAGAUAUCGCAAAAUCCGUUUCACAGCAAGCCAAUGAGUAGUAGUGGGUGUAGCCAUGAAUUGACAAGCUUUAUUAACAGAAAAAGAAAUGUCCGGUCUGGUAAGGGUAAGAUACUGAAGCGCACCAACCGUUCUGCGAUAUAAGGUGGCAUCCGAGAGAGGUUCACCAUCAAGAUGAGAUAAUGUUUGUCCUAACAAUCCCGGAGUAGUAGCAGGCUUGGAUUCUAACAUGGCUGUGCGAGAUAAGAGGUAUUGUGUGUACUUAUGUUGACUGAGAUGAAACAUAGUACCAAAACGAACUACUUCAAUGCCUAAAAAAUAAUUGACAUAGCCUAGGUCACGAAGAGCAAAAGAAGAAUUGAGCCGAGUAAUAAAUGACGAAACCUGAGCUGAAUUGCUGUCAGUUACUAGUAUGUCGUCUACAUAAAUGAGGAAAAUAAGGACAUCAUGUGUUGAAUGGUGAAUAAACAUCGAGCUGUCAGCUCGAGAAGCUUGAAAUCCCCAGCUAAGAAGUGAAGUGCUGAGUUUGGUAUACCAUGCCCGGGGGGCCUGCUUAAGGCCAUAUAAAGCCUUGUUAAGCUUGCAAACAUGAGAAGGAAAUUGAGAAUUGAUAAAGCCCGAGGGUUGAUGCAUAAACCCAUGCUCUUCAAGAUCUCCAUGGAGAAAGGCAUUCUGAACAUCAAGUUGGUGAAUUGACCAGUUAAAUGAGAGUGCAACUGCAAGUAUAAUGCGGAUAGUAGAAGCCUUGACAACUGGACUAAAAGUCUCAAAAUAAUCGAGACCCAGAGUUUGAGUAAAUCCUUGUGCAACUAACCAGGCCUUAUAGCGAUCAACUGUUCCAUCGGGUUUAUAUUUGAGUUUGUAGACCCAUUUACAACCAAGUAUAUUGCCAUUGGAGGGUGGUGGAACUAGAUGCCAUGUGUUGUUUCUUUGGAGAGCAGAAAACUCUUUUUCCAUGGCAAGAACCCAAUUUGAAUCUUUAACAGCCUAUGUGAAUGUAGUAGGUUCAGAGAUGUGAGAUGAGAAGUAAACCUUCUUCUUGCUGAUGCCAUUCUUUGCACGUGUGACCAUGGGAUGCUGAUUAGUAGGGUGAGGUUUAGAAGUGGAGAUGUCAGCAAAAGGAACUUGUAUCAGGUCUGGUAAAGAAGUAGCGGAGGAAGGCAUAUUAGUUAACAGUGGGCUUGAUGUGGAAGGAGUUGUAUGGGAAGGUAGUGAGGACACGAGAGGAGAUGAGCAAGGAAGAAGGGUUGGAGUGGGGACAGUAACUACAGAUGAGGAUUGAUCCGGAGUAGACUGAAAUGGGAACACCGUUUCAUGAAACACAACAUGCCUAGUAAUAUAGAGACAGCCUGACAAUGGGUCAAGACACAUAUAGCCUUUGUGAUUGGAACUAUAGCCAAGGAAAAUGCAUUGACUGGAGCGAUAGGAGAGUUUAUUUUUGUUGUAUGGUCGAAUAUAAGGGUAGCAUAAGCAACCGAAAAUUUUAAAGAUGUGAUAAUUUGGUGAUUUUCCAAAAAGAAUUUGAAAGGGAGAUUGAUAAUUAAGAACCUUAGUAGGUAGCCAAUUUAUAAGGAAAAUAGUUGUAUGAAAUGCAUAUAGCCAAAACUUGAAAGGUAAGGAUGUAGUGGCUAAUAGAGCAAGACCAGUUUCAAUUAUAUGUCGUAAUUUGCGCUCCGCUCAACCAUUCUAUUCAGGUGUGUAUGGACAAGAAAACUGACUUUUAAUACCAUGCGUAGCAAGAUAUGAAGAGAAGCCUUUAAAUUCACCACCAUUAUCAGACCGUAAACAUUGUAUUCGAGAAUUAAACUGAUUUUCAACUAGACUUUUGAACUUUAUGAAUAUAGAUAAUGCUUGAUCUUUUCUGUGCAAUGAAUAAAUCCAAGAGAAACGAGAGAAAUCAUCAACAAACAAAAUGAAGUAGCGUGCACCAGUUGUGGACGGAAUGGAAGCAGGGCCCCAAAGAUUAGCAUGAAGUAAAGCUAAAGGAUGAGAAGCUCUAGAAACAGACACAUUGAAAGGCAAUUUAUAACUUUUUGCAAAUUGAUAAGCACAACAGACAUUGUUUUUAUGGCAUUGAUGUGAAAUAUUACAAGAGGUAAGAUUGUGUUUCAAGAUAUUAUCAGCAGGGUGUCCAAGCCGAGAAUGCCAAAGUGUAGUUGUGGUUGUUAAAGAAAGAUUGGAAGACCUGUCAUAACUGGAAGAAACAAAAGCUGCAGGUGAAGGCACAAAUCUGGCAGGGAAUCUAUAUAAGCCAUGUUCAAGACUUCCUUGAAGAAGUAUCUUCUUGGUGACCUGAUCCUUGACAAAAAAGAAUCGAGGAUGAAACUCAAAGAAAGCAUUAUUAUCGGCACAAAACUGUGAGACACUAAUGAGAUUAGUAGCAAUAUCAGGAACGUGAAGUACUUGUCUCCAUUGAAAGGUUUUAGAAGAGGAAGGAAAGAAAGUAGUGCCUAUAUGUAAAAUACGAAGGUGCUUACCAUUCCCAACAAUCACCUUGUCAUUACCCAUGUAUGGUUGUACAUCUGAGAGUGGAUCAACACUUUGUGAUAGGUGAUGUGUAGCACCAGUGUCAAAAAACCAUGCCUCAUCAGAUAUAGUGGAAGAAGAUGCCAUCAUAGCUUGCACUUGAUUCUUGGCAUUUGGUUUAUUGGUUUGAACAGUGUCCAUAUUAGUGUUGUAGCCUUGGAAGUUAAUAUCAAACCUGUGGUAGCAGCGAACCACGGUGUGGCCAAACUUGCCACAAAGCUGGCACUGUGGUCGAUGCUGAGAUGAUUGCGAGCGCCCACCUUUUGUACCUCUUCUUGUGUUGAACCCAAACUGCCUAUUUUGACCAGAGGAUUUUUUAUUGUUAAAAUGUUGAUAUUGUGGUGUAGCAAGAUUAGUAGAGAUGAUGUUAUCUUCUGCAACUGAAUUCUGAAAGCUAAGUCGUUGUUCAUGGGUGAGUAAAAUGCUGUGUACAGAGUGGAGAGACAUCUCAUCUUCACGUGCUGUAAGAGAGGCUACUAUGGAGUUGUAGUCUGCCCCAAGACCUCUAAGAAGUUGGAGGAUCUGAUCUCUAUCAGUCACAAGUUCUCCAAUGGCCGCCAAAUUAUCGGCCAAACUCUUUAGUUUAAGAAUGUAUUCCAUCAUUGUCAAUGACCCUUUCCUUGUGGUUUGGAACUCUAGGCGUAGUUGCAUCACCCUAGCCCUUGAAGAAGCCGAAAAGAUUCGUUCUAAAGCAAACCAGGCUGCAUGAGAGGAUUGAUAGCCAACUAUCUAGCCCAUGAUUUCAGGAGUGAGUGAGAAGUAGAUCCAGCUAAGGAUCAUGCGAUCGAAUCGUCGCCAUAUAACAAAAUCUGGGUUUGUUUCUCCAGAACUUGUUUUUUGAGGUGGACAAAUUUUCAGACCUUCGAUAUGAUCUUCAAAACCAUUGGCAAAGAUAACGUUCUCCAUUUGUGUUCUCCAAAGAAUGUAAUUGUUUCUAUCAAGUUUGAUCGACAAUGCAUGAUUCAGCAUCUGCAUUGUUUGAGUAGCACCGGUAGAUGAAGGUAGGGUACCAGCUUGUAACCCUGAUGACUGUGUUGAACUCAUCAUGAAUAGAAUGGAGGUUAUCUACAAAGAACUAAAACUGAUAUGAAGAAGAAGAAGAAGUCUUGUAAAAAAAAAAUACCAAAGCUUUGAUACCAUGAAAGUUUUAGAAACUGGGUUUUAGAAAAACCAAUAUUUCUCAUUGUCUAUUAGAAAAGGUGAUCCAUCUUUGUACACUGACGUUUUCUUAUAUUUAUAUCUACAACAACCUAACUAACUAACUUCCUUCUUUGAGACGUUCUUAACCGGCUUCUGUUUGUUGCAGCUAACCUUGGUUUGUUGCACCUGAUCUCGGUUUGUUGCAGCUGACCCCAGACAGUUACUUUCUUGUUGAUCAGCUAGGUAUCGUCUAUCAACCUAAACUAAUGAGUUUUUUGCGUAACUGGUGUCCCCAUUUCCUCCCUUCAUGCAAAGCACUUGAGCUACUUCCAUCUCUUUCUUCCUGCCUCUUCGCUGAUUGCUUCCUCUCAGUUGGAAUGUGGAUUAUGUUGAAGGAGAUGCUCCCCAUUUAUAGAACUUGGAGCCACAUCUUAGUGGAAUUAAUUUUUUUCAUCUUCUAUGGGCUCUACUUCCACCGAACCCCCGCUUGGCACUAGUGGAAUUGAUAAUUCAGGACUGAUGUCACAUUGUGGGUAGUCUUGAGUCCUGACAUCCACUAGAAGAUAGCACGCCACAUGCUGUCCACUAGUAUCCGGGUGGGUCCAUGCUACCUAUUCAAAUAUCUAGGUCGGCAACACUUCUGGGAAGAGCUCUACAAAAUAAAAAUAGAAAUACUUUAAAAUCAUUCUAAAAAAUAAUCUAUUUUUAAAUACAAAAUCAUUAAAACAGACUAAAACUUAAACCUAAAAGAUUCGAUUCAUAAUUUAUAUCAUACACUUUCUCGUACCAAACAUAUGGUAAACCUUAUUGGCAAGAUGAGGGCGAAUCUGCCUAUGACAGUGAUUUUUUUUUUUUUAUAAAUAUUUCUCCAUUUUAAAAUUACUUUUCAUACAUUUUUAUGAUUUAUUUUAUCAUUUGUUAAAGUGGUAAGCAAUCAUCAAGUACACAAAAUAAUUAUUUAUUUUAUUUAUUUAUAUUAUAUCUUCAACUUUAAGAGUGAAUUACUUUAACAAAGGAUAAAAUAAGUACAAGGACAUGAGUCUACUUUAUUUUAACAUUGACGCCUCAGUUAUAGUAUGAACAUUAGACCAUGUCUCAGGGAAAAAGUCUAAAAUUUGUUCUCACUGAGAAAUGUAAAAGCGAGAAAGUGUGAGAAAGGGUGAGAAAAUGUAAAACUGAUGGAGCUUUUUACAGUUGUCUGCGACAACAUGGGAGACUUAUUGCAUUGAGUAUUGUUCUAAUUGGCUCGAUAUGCCAUCAUUGUCCCACCCAUUAAAAUCUCCAGAUUGUUAGAUGGUACCGUACUGAAUACGAUAAGAAAACUUUAACUUUUUGAGGCGGGUGUUUUAUUUAUUUCCUUUUCCUACACCUACGAAACUUCAAGUGCAUGAUUGACAGAUUUCAAAAAUAAUACUACUAACAUGGACAUGUGGGCAUGAAACACGAUGAUGGAAGUAGGCCAAGGUCAAGGUUGGCGCAUGGGUUGGCCGCAGCUACCUUAAAACAAAUUGGUAUUAGUUAUCGGCCACAGAAUAUUGGAGGUACCACCAGAGCAUGACGCUUUCUGAACAACCCUGCAGGCGUUUGUUAGCUGACGUUUCCAUGCAUGACACAUCUGCCUCAUUUUUUCUUCAAUCUAAUGUGAAGUUUGUCUCCUCUAAUCUUCUUUUUCAAAAUAAUAUCCAUUCAAAUAUGCCAACGGAGUCAAUUUUAGUUGAAAAAUAGCUAUCAGCAAAAAGUUGUGGCCGUGGAGGAAAGACGUAACUGAUCUACCACAUGAUGAAUAUUAAAGUUACGGUUUAGUUGGUAUCACAAAGAACAGAUCUUAUCACUAAAAUUAGAUAAAUUUUUUUUUCACACUAAAUGGCCAAGAGUUGGUUUGGAAGGGGAUCUUGGUAAAGUGUUUUUAGUUUUCAACACUUAUAAGUAGAAUCAGUUAGUGUAGUAAUAUUUUUAAUUAUGUGUUGUAUGACAAAAAUUCAUUUUUGAAAUAUGAUUAAAUGUUUCUUUGGAUACACUCUUAUUUUUUGUUUUCAUGUUGAAGACACGAAAAAAACUAACUUUUGGCUAGACCCAUGAAAUUCAAAGUUCAUUCAUUGGAAAGGAUCCACCCAAAUCUGGUUCCAAAACAAUGGUAAAUUUAUCACUUUUUGUCAUUGACCAUAUCAAAGUGUAAUGUACCAAACCCAAUUUAGGGGUAAAAUCAUAAUUUAAAAAUUAUUAAUUAAUUAAAGUAAUUUAAUAGGGGUAAAAAAUUCUAUUUAUAUUUAAAACUCUUAGAUAUAGAUUAGAUUUUCUCUACCUUCUCUAUUCAGAAAACCCUUGUACAUAGAGGUCAAAAAGAUCAGAGAGCAUAGGGCUAAAGAUUUGGAGGUUUAGGGUUUGAAGAUCAAUUUUUUUAGGUAAGAUUUUUAAUCCUUAAAUUAAUAUUUUAUAUUCGUUAAUUAGUUUUGAACACUUUAGAUAUUCUUUAAAAUAUUUCAAUUUUGAUUAGAGUUUGUUUAAUUAAUUUAUAAUUCAAAAAGAUUAAAAAAUUAUGAAUAUAAUUUGAUUUAUUAAUGAAGAUCAACAGAUUUUGAUCACUUAAAUAAAUAGAUCUAGAAAAAAAUAGUAAAUAAAUAAAAUAAGAAUAGCAUGAUUUUCUAGAACGGUGAAGAAAAAAAAAAUGCGUGUGGACAUCCAAGGAAGAAAGAAAAAAAAAAGAAGAAAAAAAAAAGAGUGUUAUUAUUAUAAUAAUAAUAAUGGGUGUAGUUGGUGGCUUGGAGUAAUGGUGUUGUAGGGUAUUUGAAAGUAAUAAUAAUAAUAAUAUAUAUAUAUAAUGAGGUAUGGGGGUUAAGUGACAGUUGGAUUAUGGGAACAAUAAUAAUAAUAGUUUCUUGGUUUUAAUUUAAUUUAAAUAUAUAAAGAAAUAAAUAGUGAGGGUAAGAUUAGGAAAGAAAAUGAAUUUUACAAUAAUUUGAAAACUCAGUAAAAUAAUUUAUUAUUGUUUAGUAAGUUGAAAAUAAUAUUGGGUAGUAAUAAUAUUAGUAUGAGAAAUUAAUUAGGAUCCCUAAUACUAAAUAAAAUAUUUUUAGGAUUGUGAAAUUUUUACCUUUAGAUAAUUGUGUAUGAUAUUAUGUUAGGUGAUGAGUAAAUUCGUCAAGCUAAAAUACUUUUAAAUUUUGAGCGCUUAUUCAAGGUAAGGGAAAUUAAUGCAGAUAUUCGCAUUCUACUUGAGAAUAUGUUUUUUUUUAUCACCAAACUGAAAUCAAAUAAGAAAAUAACAUUAAAAUGCAUAACAUUUGGAAGUCUAAAACUAUGUACAAUUCAUUAAAUUUGUAAUACCUUUGAAACAAUAAUUGUAGGAUAAAAAAUUAUCUCUUUUAUGAAUCUCAUAACAAAGUAGCCACAUUCGAACCCUCCUUCUUGUCUUGGACACUAAUCGAUCAAUUAUAAAAUAACAUUAGUACUCAUAUAUAUAAAUGGUGCAAAUGCAUAAGCUAAUGUGUAAAGAAAAUUUUUUGGAUGUCACCUGCACUAGUUGCCAAGAUGGCUCCCUCUUAGAUGUUUUCUUUGCAGAUAUUUGAAGAGCCCUAUGUAAAUAGGUUCAAUGGGUACAUUUUUAAAAUAGGUAAAUGUUAUAUGUUUUAACAUAUAUAUAAAUAAUAAAAAAAAAUGUGUUUGAGAUGAAUGUAUUUAAAAAAAUAAUAAUAAUACUAUGAAAAAUAAUAGGAAGAACUUACAUGUUUAUGAUAUCCUUUAAGUCCUCACAUGGUUUGUGAUGCAUAGGGUCAAGAUAGUGGACUAUCAUUUUCCUUGGCUCAAUCACUACCAAGACCCAAUGAAAGCUAAAACAUUAAAAACAAAAGUAGCAUCUAAUUAGAAAUAUAAAUCAAUCAUAAAACCUCAAAUUAAAGUAUAAUAUUUGUCACUUACUUGGGGUUGUAGGGUAUGAAAACAUAUUUAGCAUCUUGGCACUCCAUUAAGCGUUUUGACAACAAUUGUGCUCUUUUCUCUGUUUGAGGAGCACUAAGGCCUGCUCGUGAUAUUGUAAAAGGAUUAACAAAUAUAAAUUGUGAUUCCUUUUUGGCAAUAUGUAGUUGAUCAUGCAUGUGCCUAUUAUUGUAUCAAAACACCAAAAGAAAAUUAUCAUUAGUCAUAUCCAAUCUCGUUCAACAUGGGCAACUCAUAUUAAAAAAAUAAAAACAAAUGAAAAUGAAAGUUGCACACCAUAAAUAGAAGGAGAUGCAGUUUGAUGACACCUCUAAAGAUGAAAUAAUGUAUUCACAAUCCUCUCUAGAUAUAUAUGUUUGAAAUUCGACACCAAAUAGUGAAAUGAGGAGCUGUAUUGGGUAUGUCUUGUCAUUACCAAGACAACCAUCCACAAAUUUCUGAAAAUUUUUAAUGACCGAAUGAUUUUGAGGCUUAGAUUUUCGAAUAAUUGGUGUCUUCACUAUCUUCUUCAUUCCUUUAUCCAACACCUAUGAAAAAGGAAGGAAUGUUAGAUAUAUAUACUCCUAAACAAUAAAAUACCAAGUUACAAUCAAAUUUACCAUAGGCAUAAAAUGACAUACCUGAGGAUGUUCAGUUUCAAGUAUGACAAGGCUUGUUGGCCAAUCAAGCUCAAAGCCAAUAGCAUCCCCAACAUUGAUAAUCUCAUAUGGAUUUGGAAAUGGGAGUCUAGCAUUUGGCUUGUGUGCAACAUUUAUCACAACCAACCUAUUCGAUCCUUUUUCUUCUAUUAGUGUACCAGUUGCAACAACAUUUCCUUUUCUUUCCACUGCUAAUUUACAUUUAAUUACCUUCAAUACAACAAAUAAUAUCACUUAUAUUAAUCUUGUAUUAUUAGUAAGUAAAUGCAUACCUUGUGUUUCAAUGGUGGUUCUGGUGGUUGGGGCUCUUCUAUCAUUUUAAACAUUGGUUUUUCUGCUACAACUGGUUGUAAAACAAGUUGUUGUCUCAUGUUAUUACUACCCAUAUCAGAAUGGGGUGUGGGGGAAGACAUAACUUGUCUUGUUGCAGCAUCUUCCAUCUCCUUUCGUACCAUUUCCCAUAUUUCUUCUUUGAUUUUUUUUCAUGUCAUCAGAUGGUUGAUGAAAGUAUGAGCUAGGCCUAACCAAAUGGUCUUGACCUACCAUACGUCCUGGAUUAUCAGGCUUACCCAAUACCUGACCUAAUAUGUCAUUUGGACCAGGUGGAGGUAGUCCAGUCUCCUUAGCAUUUUCUAGUAAUUCAUCCUACAAUAAAACAUAUAUUAGUAAUAAUUUGAUGAAGAUGAUUUACAUAUCAAUCAAAGACAACCAAUUUAAGGUAGCUAGAAAAUGAAUUGUUUUAAUACAAAGGAUAAUAGACAAAUUGGUGUAUAACAUAACUACUCAUAAAAAUGAUAGCAUUAAGCCUCUCGCCUAUUAACACCUAACGAUAUCAUCACAAACCAUAGUCACAUAGACGUACUAACACUAUAGGCUCUAAAAGGCAUAAAUAUGCUAACUUACUAUCAUGUUAAUCACUGGCUCUGUAAUCUUAUUAAACUUUCCUUUCUUCUCACGUGCUUUCUUCCAUAAAACACUUCUAUCAACCCUACCAAUACUCCCUUCUGCUUGUAGCUAUAAAAAUUUUAACAAUAAAACUCAUUAUUUCAAUAUGAUCAAGUUAAUAAAUGACAUUUAAAAAUUGGAAUAAUUUUCCUGUAAACAAAAUAUAUACUCCAUUUUUUUACCGAUAUUGAUAACUUACUAUAUCCUGCUCAAAACGUGCAUAUCCUUUUCUUCCAAGAUAAUGAUUGUAAAUGUGUUUAUCUUUUCUCGAUUUCUGAACCUUGUGAUAUUCCUAAAAAAUAUAGACACAAAAUUAGUACAUGGUGAAACUAUUUAAAUGUAAAAAUUGAAGAUGUAUUAAAAAUAAUGCUUAACAUUAAAGUGUUCAGAAAGUCUAUCUUUAACAAACUGUCUCCAAUGAUCCUCUUGUAUGAAUGGGUAGAUAGGAGGUGGCUUUUUCAGCUUUUCUGGGUCAUUCUUGAAAUACAAUAUAUAUUUCUUUGUCAACUUGUACUUAAAGGUUCGAAACCUGAUGCCCAUUAGUAGGAAACAAUUCCUCUUGGAAUUUUGAUUCACAUUAAAGCUUGUUUACAAAAUAGCAACCCAUGUUAGCUCAUGUUAAUGAAUGUAUACAAUAAUUAUAUAUGAAGCUAUAGAUAGACUUACCGUGAUCAAAUCCCAUAACUUCUCCUUAGUCUCUUUAGGGACUUUCCUCCAACUCUCAACAAUUAUUGGCACAUGGGUUCUAGUUAUUGUACCAAGAUAACUACUUAGUUCAACUGAAUUUUCCCCAAUGUGACUACCAAGGCUAUUGUAUUCAAUCUUGACCUUUAUCCCUUUACUUCGAUUUUUUGCAAUCUCUGGUUUCAAUGUACUACCUCUAUGCUUUACUUUUGGCAUUUCCUCUUCUUCUGGAUCCAUAUUUGUGUGGAAGAUAUCAAGUAAAUGUGCAAACUAGUACUUCACCAACAAACCUGUAAAAUGACUCAAAAGCAAGAUUAGUAUAUCCUUGCAUAUAUUUCCUAUAAUUAAAUUGGUCAUUCACAAAUAUAGUUUUUGAAAUUUCCUUUCAAAGUUUGUCUUGUUUUUUGAUUUCUUAUCAAUAAUGAAGAAUUUAUUUGUGAGGAUAACAAUAAAAUAAAUUAGUGCAUACAUAGUUUCAAUUAUUAUUUAUAGUUUUAAUGAAAAAGAAAUUUAUGAAUGAAAGUUUCAAGUUAUGUGAGCAUAAAAUCAAAACAUGAUAAUAAAAAAUAAUAUAAAUCUAGUUCCAUGGACAACAAAAAAGAUAGUUAAAUGAAGAUUGAAGUGGUACCUUUGAAUAACAUAUGUUUAUGAUGCAUGAAAGAAAUUUAGGAUGAUCAAUAUAUAUAUAUAUCAUGAGCAAUAUAUAGAAGCUAAGCUAUCAAAUAGGCCUUUUGCUGGACGUGGUUUACCACAGUCCAGAAUUUUUGUAAAUUUUGUAAAUUUUCAAGUUUUUUUCCAUACUUUUGAUCUUAGUUUUUGAUCUUAAAUCAUGUUUUUAUGUGUAUUUUAAUCUUUUUGAAUGAUCCCAGGUGGAAGAAAUUUCAAGGAGAUUGAAAGAAAAAAAAUCGGGUCGAAAUCGGAGCAAAAACAGAGGAAAAACAGAGCUCUGCGAAAUUUCGCAGAGUGAAGAAAACUUCUGCGAAAUGAGCAUUUUGUUGCCAAACCAUUCCGCAACACUGUAGAAGUCUCUGCGAGGGUAUUUCGCAGCUGUGAAAGCAAAUUUGGCACACGAGUGCCACUUCGCAGUACAGUAGCAUCCAUUUGGCAGCUGGGAAACGCAUUGCAAAGUGGAAAAGCGUGAUUUCGCACCAAAAGUCCCAUUCCGCAGGGUAUUUCGCAAUUGUGAAAGUGGUUUUGGCACACGAGUGCCACUUCACAGCACAGGAGCCAUCAUUUGGCAGCUGCGAAACGCAUUGCGAAGUGAAAAAGGCUGAUUUCGCAACAAAAGUCUCAUUCCGCAGAGGAUUUCACGGAUGCGAAAGCACUUUUGGCACACGAGUGCCAUUUCGCAGCACAGUGACCCUCAUUUCGCAGCUGCGAAAUGGCUGCGAAGUCCCAAAAAGUGAAAAAUCCCAAUUUCACAGCCGCACCCCCAUUUCGGCAAUUGUUGGACACAUCUCGAUCACUUUCUAAAGUUCAAAUUAUGCAUGUAAUAUCUCGUUUCAAAGCUUGGGAAGUCAGGAGUCCAUAGCUUCAAACGGUGCUCGAUUUGGAUUUGAAACGGAAAAGUUAUGGCCAUUUGAAGAUGAUUGUGCAAACCAUGAGCGGAAAUGUCGCACCUCCAUUUUGCUACUGUUGGACACAUUUUUGAAGCACUUCUUGGAGCUCAAAUUAUGCAUACGAUAUCUCGUUUCAAAUCUUGGGAAGUCAGGAGUCCAGUGCUUUAAACGGUAUGUGAUUUGGAGGUGAAAUGAAGAAGUUAUGGUCAUUUGAAGGCAAGCGCUCAAAGCUGAACGGGAAUUUCGCAGCCGAGACGCCAUUUGGAAGGGUGUUUCGCAGCUGCGAAACCACUUUUGGCACACGAGUGCCAUUUUGCAGCACAGUUCUCCUCAUUUUAAAGCUGCGAUACACCUGCGAAAUCACUUUUGAGCUACGAAAUAGCUAUGAAAUGAUCUCCAAGCUGCGAAAUGACUAUGAAAUGAUCUCCAAACUUCGAAAUGGCUGCGAAAUCACCUCCAAGCAUCGAAAUGGCCUUUAAAUUGCAAAAUUGACUUGCGAAAUGGAGGAAGGUUUGCAAAAACACUUUGCAAAGCCAAGAGAAGUUGCUAAAAUGCCAACAGAGCCCUGCGACCAUGCAUCUGAAGAGGAGAGCCCCGAGCACCUUGAGAUCACACACACAAAGUCUCUCACUCCAUUUCUGACCUCCUUAAACCAUCAAAUCCCAUAGCUACCAGCUGAGAGCUCCAGUUGAGGAAACUAUGUCACCUAAGGAGAUUACCAGAACAGAGGCCAAAGUCCUGAUCCAACCCAUUCAAGAGGCCACCACAGACGCAUCAGCUCCACAGGACCUUACCAUUACUUGAUCAUCUCUUUAAUUUUUGUCUUUACAUAUUAUAUUAGUAUAGAUAAUUCCAUGUUUUGAUGUCUUAUAUUCUGGGAUUGGAUGUAUUACUGAUGAUACAUCAUAUAUAGACAUCAUUUUUGUAUAAACUUGGCAUUUUUCUAUUUCCUCUACUCGCUAACUCUUAUGUUUUCUUUGAAACAUGUGGUUUCUCCUAUACGACUCAGACUCCAUAUCACUCAGGAGGUACCACUUCCUCCCUAUUUUUCAAUCGCUUUUGUCACAUUGAGGACAAUGUUUAGCUCGGUUGGGGGGAGAGUUGAGGAAGUAAGUAUUGUUAAUAAUGAUAAGUUAUUUUGGUAAUUUAGUUGCUUUUUGCUUAAUUUUUAAAAUUUUUGCUUUAAACUCCAUGGAUAUUAAGGAUUAACUCUCAAAAUUAAAUGAGAGAAGUCGAGUUUCAACUUGAUUACAUGAGUCUUAGAGUUUGUAUUAUGCUCUUCUAAAAGUUGAUGAAUUGUUGAAACUCCCAUUGCAUGAAAACUUAUCUCUUCCACCUUAAGCUAUUCGCACACACAUACAUUAGAUUCCGGUUAUAAGAUGUGAAACUAUCUCACCCUCUAAGCUUGAGAAAUCAUAAUUUGACACCUUUAACCUCUCUUUAAUAGUGUUGGGACACCUCAUAAAGACCAAUGAGUCUUUGUAGAAAAAGAAAAAAAAAAGAAAAAAAUAAAAUAAAAUAGAAUAAACUUCUUUACUUGCCUUGAAACCUGAGCAUGGUCCGAAGGGUUGGCUAUAGCCUUUAAAGCCUGGUGCCUUAAGCCUUUAUUGGUUGGGAGUCACCGAUCCUCUGCUUGUUACAUGGGUGAAUUGGUUAAGUUUAGUAAGUGAAAAGAAUUGUGAAUAAGAGGUGCGUUCCUAGCCUAUCAAGAGAUGGUUAAUUUUGCUAAGUUUAAAGAAAGACUUAGGUUGGGGGGAGAUGAUAGUUAUCCAUACUAUACUCGGAAGCUAAUCACAUUAACACUUAGCUUUUAGUGGAAGAAUUUGAUUUGAAUCUUUUGAGAGUGGAAAUUCUUUUGAUGCUUAAACUUGCAUAAUAUCCAUUCUUUGUACUCUAAGAUCAAGUGAAUGCUUUGACAACUCUUAUUAUAGGUUGAGUUUCACAUCUUUAUUGAUCCAUGGAUGUCCAUCAUGCCACUCAUAUCAUUUUUUGGAGUGAUUUGCAUGAUCCCUUUUAUAUAUAUUAUUAUAGUUACUUAGUUUUUAUCUCCUCCAUUGCUAAGGGACUAGCAAUGAGUCGGUUGGGGGGUGUGAUUACUACCAAAAAGUGCUAUUUUGUAGACCUAAUUAUAAUGGUUUUAAGCACCUUUGAGUAGUAAUCAUAUUCAUUUAACCCAAUUAAUUCAUUAAGGUCCUUAGUAAUUGGUUUUAACCAUUUUGUGGCAAGUUUACAUGUUUUUAUCAGCUUAUGAAUCAAUUCAAGCAUGUCAAAUGAUGGAGGAGCUACUUGAACAAGUUAUGGCAAAGCUUAUGGAAGCUCAAAUUCAUGAAGAAACCAAGCUUUGGAGCCUGAUAGUCCUUUGCCUUAGUUGUUCAAAGUAUGCAAGGAAAGAGCACUGGAGAGAGAAAAACAGAGUGAAGAAAACAGAGGACGGCAGCUGCAGUCUUCUUUCGCACUUUUGGAGCACUUCCCAAAGUCCAUUUUCUACAUUCUAUAUACCAUUUGAAAUCUCAGGAAGUCAAGAAUCCAAUGCUUCAAACGGUGCGCAAUUCGGAGUUGAAAUGAAGGAGUUACAACCAUUGCAAGCAGAUCACUCCAAGCUGAAGAAAGCAUUUUGCAAAGUGUUACGAAAUCACCCUUUUGUUGCGAAGUGAUUUCGCAGCAUUUUUGAACAGUAGGAUGUUUCUCCUUCUGACGAUGCCCGAUUUAUGCCGCGAGAAGGAAGCUGGGAACCUCAAGGUGGAAGCCAACUUCGCAGCCCUAUGAAGAGAGCUUGGUGUUGCGAAAUUAUUUCGCAACCCUCUUGAGUGUCUGCGAAAUUUCGCAGACACCAUUUUUCUCCUGCGAAAUGGUUCCUGAAGCCUCCAGAUAUUUGCUACCAACAUGGGAGAUAUUUUACAUUAGAUUUUUGUUGUCUAAAUCCCAAAAUACUCCUUGUAAACCACCAAUUACAAGAUUCCUUAGCUUUUAAGUUAGUAAAAAGACUAAAUAUCAAUGUAAUAAUUAGUUUUAUAUUAUGUUCAUAUAAAUACCUCUCGGGAGUCUGUUCCAGGGAGAGGAGAGGAGCUUUUUGUAAAGUUNNNNNNNNNNNNNNNNNNNNNNNNNNNNNNNNNNNNNNNNNNNNNNNNNNNNNNNNNNNNNNNNNNNNNNNNNNNNNNNNNNNNNNNNNNNNNNNNNNNNNNNNNNNNNNNNNNNNNNNNNNNNNNNNNNNNNNNNNNNNNNNNNNNNNNNNNNNNNNNNNNNNNNNNNNNNNNNNNNNNNNNNNNNNNNNNNNUCAUCAAAAUUUAUAACCUAUAACACCAUAUGGGAUUCAUGCCCAGUUGGUGUGCCAGCUGAUUUGUGUCCAGGUGGUGCUCCUUGAAUGAGGGAGUAAUCAUCAAAAUUUAUAACCUAUAACACCAUAUACUAGGGUAGCAAAGACAAAGCUACUAUAGUAUAGCGGCUCUAGGAUCGUUCACUGGGAAGAAUUAACAAGCUAUCAAUGAUACCAAUUCAAAGUGAAUUGGCCUUGUUUCAUUUCAAGGUUAGCUUAAGAAGUAAAACACAAACUUUGAUUGGUAAAGGUUUAGACUUAAACUAACUAUCAUAACAGAAGUUUGGAAUAAUUUAGGAAGAAAAACAUUCCUUGGAGAGUUAGGUUCACUGGGGUGGUUCCUCAUGCAAAAGACAUAGCUCCGAUCGGAUGGUUCAUUUCCUCGCAUUAGAGAUUCAACAUAUAGUCAAUUCCCUAACCGGUGUUGUACAGAGACUCCUUCAAUUAGAUUUCACUUUAAUUCUCUCACUGAUGCAACUUGCAAUGGUUCAUGCCUCUCACGAGCACUUACCAUUCAAGAUGAUCUUUAACCUUGGACUUCCCUUCACAAACUCGCAAGAGAUAACUAAUGGAUGUCUCGUUGGAGUCCAAAAGCUUACCAAGUGUUGGUAAUUCCAGAAAAUCCUACCUUAAAGCCACCUCCCAGAGGCUCGCAAGGGGUAAACUAGUGCAUUUCCAUGGUUGGAAAUCACUUGCCUUACCAAGUGUUGGCCCAGGUGACUCUAAGGUGUUUUAAGUUAACUAAAAACAUAGAAAUCAUUAAAGGAUUUCACUUCCUCUUCAUUACUAGCUAAAACCACAAAGCUCUGCAUUCUUGCACUUGGAACCUUCCCCAGCAACCUUAGCUCCAAGGAACUAGAGGUUUAGUUACUCAUUCUCUGGGGAAAACUCCUCAGAGAAUUCAUAACUUAGAAAUAAAAUAAAAAUACAAAGUGAGAAGGUAAGGCAGUAGAAAGAACUGAACUUUACUUGCUUACCAAAAACUUUACAAAAAGCUCCUCUCCUCUCCCUGGAACAGACUCCCGAGAGGUAUUUAUAUGAACAUAAUAUAAAACUAAUUAUUACAUUGAUAUUUAGUCUUUUUACUAACUUAAAAGCUAAGGAAUCUUGUAAUUGGUGGUUUACAAGGAGUAUUUUGGGAUUUAGACAACAAAAAUCUAAUGUAAAAUAUCUCCCAUGUUGGUAGCAAAUAUCUGGAGGCUUCAGGAACCAUUUCGCAGGAGAAAAAUGGUGUCUGCGAAAUUUCGCAGACACUCAAGAGGGCUGCGAAAUAAUUUCGCAACACCAAGCUAUCUUCACAGGGCUGUGAAGUUGGCUUCCACCUUGAGGUUCCCAGCUUCCUUCUCGCGGCAUAAAUCGGGCAUCGUCAGAAGGAGAAACAUCCUACUGUUCAAAAAUGCUGCGAAAUCACUUCGUAACAAAAGGGUGAUUUCGCAACACUUUGCAAAAUGCUUCCUUCAGCUCGGAGUGAUUGGCUUGUAAUGGCUGCAACUUCUUCGUUUCAAAUCCGAAUUGCACACCGUUUGAAGCAUUGGAUUGUUGACUUCCUGAGCUUUGAAAUGGUAUAUAGCAUGCAUCAUUUGGACUUCAGAAAGUGCUCCAAAAGUGGCCGCUGUGACUGUCAUCAAGAAUAUGCUCUAUGGCAGAUUCUCUUUGCUUUUUCUCCUUGCAAUCCGGAUUUACUCUUGUCAAAUGACUUCUAAGCUUUGCCCAAGAUCCUCAUAACUCUCCUCAGUCUUGACUUGCUUUGGUGAUCAAAAUACUAACAAAAACACCAAAACUUACACAAAGUGAUUAAAAUUGCUUUAAAGGAUCCUUAACAUGCCAAUUGAGUUAAAAGGCCUAAACUACUACUCAAAAGUGUUUAAAAGGAUUAAUUAUAGGCUAUCAAAUAGCACUUUUUGAGUAGUAAUCAAUGAUCAAUAUAUAUAUAUAUAUAUAUAUAUAUAUAUAUAUAUAUAUAUAUAUAUAUAUAUAUAUAUCAUGAGCAAUAUAUAGAAGCUAAGCUAAUGUGCAACUCAUGAAAACAUUAGAGUUCGUUUAAUUAAUUUGUAAGUCAAAAAGAUUAAAAAUUUAUUAACAUAGUUUGAUUUAUUAAUGGAGAUUGACAUAUUUUGAUCACUCAAAUGAAUAGAUCUAAAUUAUAUAAUAAUAAAUAAAUAAAAUAAGAAUAGCAUGAUUUUCUAAAAUGGUGAAAAAUAAUAAUAAUAAUAAUAAUGUAGAUGUGUGUCGUGUAGCAGAGGGUUUAAAAGAGAAAAAAUAAAUGCGUGUGGAUAUCUAGGGAAGGAAGAAACAAAAGAAGAAGAAAAAAAAAGUGUUAUAUAUUAUUAUAAUAAUAGUAAUGGUGUAGUUGGUGGCUUAAAGUAAUGGUGUUGCAGGUCUUUGAAAGUAAUAAUAAUAAUAAUAAUAGUUUCUUGUAUAGGUUUUAAUUUAAUUUAAGUAUAUAAAGAAAUAAAUAGUGCGGGUAAGAUUAGGAAAGAAAAUGAAUUUUACAAUAAUUUGGAAACUCAGUAAAUUAAUUUAUUAUUGUUUAGUAAGUUGAAAAUAAUAUUGGGUAGUAAUAAUAUUAGCAUGAAAAAUUAAUUAGGAUCCCUAAUACUAAAUAAAAUAUUUUUAGGAUUGUGAAAGUUUUUCCUUUAGAUAAUUGUGUAUGAUAUUAUGUUAGGUGAUGAGUAAAUUCGUCAAGCUAAAAUACUUUUAAAUUUUGAGCGCUUAUUCAAGGUAAAGGAAAUUAAUGCAGAUUUUUAUAAAAGAAAAUAAUUUUCUUUUUAUAUUGUAUUUUGAAGUGUGUAAAAAUAUUAAUUUUAUCUUUACGCAUGAAUCAAAUAUGUGUUUUGUAUGAAAAAUAUAUUUUAGCAUUUUCUUUGUUUAUGAAAAAUGAAAAAUUUAGGAGAUAUGAUGUUUUGUUUUGUAAGUUUGAAUUUAUGAAAUAAAGUGUUUGACUCUAGAUUAUAUGACCCUAGUCAACGGAUUAUAAAUGUUGACAUUUUCGAUGCUAGUCAACAGGUUAUAAUAGUUUAUAUUAUAUGACCUAAGUCAACGGGUUAUAAUAAUUGACCUUAUGACCCUAAUCAACAGGUUAUAAUUGUUGACAUUUGGUUUUGUUCACCUUAAAUGGAACAAAUUUGAAACUAAUUACUCAAUUGUGAAGUCUCACCUAAUUGGAAACCAUUUUUCGUAUGAUAAUCAGAGUAAAGAUAUUUUGAAUGUAUUCGAAUUGGUUUUGAUGAUAAAUUGUUUUGAAAUGGAUAUGAAAAAGUUUUGUUGAAAAGUUUGAAUGUAUUAGUAUUUUGAACUCAAAAGUUUUUAUGAAAAUAAGUAUAUGUCAUAUCUCUUGUUUGCAAGUAUGAUUAAAAAUGUUUUAUCCAUGAAACUAUAUUAAUGUUCCUUAUUGGGCUUUGAGUUCAUUCCCUUUUGUGGAUAAUCUUUCAAGUAACCUCAGUUCGGGCGGGGAGUGAUUAUUAAGAGGGAAAUUUGGCUUUAUUAGGACAUUUAUUUAAACUUUCUUUAUUUUGGACAUUGUUUAGAUGUUAAAACUUAAUUCUCGUUUGAAUUAUUUUGAGUUUAGAGUUAUUUGGACAAUAACACUUUAGUUGAUGUAUUAGUUUUUUUUAAAGUUGAUACUUUGAGAUUUUAGAAUUUUGUCAUACUACUUUGAACGGGAAUUUGGUAAUUGGUAAAUUUUUAGUUACAAUACAAAUGUUUGUGUCAUUUCCACUUUGAGUCUUUCGGCUUGAGGUGUAAAAUGACCGUCAUGUCUUUGGAGUGGGUUUUGUGGCGUGAUAGAGUUGUGACAUCCCACACCGGAUAGAGGGGAAAGUUCCUAACACUGUAUAAGUAUGGAUUCCUCUUAAACUUGUAAACUCGUUUUAAAGCCAUAAGGACCCCUUUGGGUUUAAAGUAGACAAUAUCUAUACGGUUGAGAGCGAAUCGUUACAAAUAGUAUCAGAGUUGAUCCUCGACCUCGGUGUGGGGAUUUGUUUGGCCUCGUGGGGGGUGUUUGUCUGUUUGGCCCCGUAAUCCCAUGGGAUACAACAAAGACGUUAUGUCUGCACCGAGUGAGGUGUUUGUGACAUCUCAUACCGGAUAAGGGGGGAAAUUCCUGACGCUAUAUAAGUAUGGACUCCUCUUAACCCUAUAAACACGUUUUAAAGUCGUGAGGGCCCCUUUGGGUUUAAAGCGAACAAUAUCUAUACGGUUAGGAGCGGGUCUUACACAAAGAAUUUUCCACAUCCCAACAAACCUGCUACACUUGCAAACAAGUCAGAAAUCUCAUCACGCUAUCCAUCUCUUAUUAAAAAAUCUAGAGAAAUAAGAAUUUUAGCCCUUGUCCCUUAUUUCAAUGGAAGAAUUCCAAACAUCUGUCAUCUACGCAUUCUUAAAAAUCAACAAAGCAAAAGGUGUGAUGGAAACAACACACAUAAAAGGUUAUCACCGCAUUACCUAUCUUUCCAAAAAAGCACCCUCCACCCAUUACCCACCAUAAAAGAACAUUUAAAUAUCACGAUAUCCCAAUCUUUCUUUAUUACUUUCCACAAUCCAACCCUAUACCCCUUUUUUACCUUCUUUGUUCCCUCUAUUACCUCCUUUGUUCCUCCUGAAUUGAAGGUUAAAAUCACACUUAUUCAUUUGAAGCAUGAGGUGUGUUAGAUUCAAGAUCAUACCUCAUAUCUAGGCCCCAAGUCGCAUGACUGCCUUCACUUUUAUGUAGUGCUGUUUUUUAAUUCCUAAAUUAGUCAUACUUUUCUUAGUUAAUGAAAGCCUAAUGUCAUGAAAAUAUCUUAUAAUCUUUUAUAAUAAUAUAUAUAUGAAUUAAAGGAAAAUAAAAAGGUCAAAAAGUGAAAAUAAAGAGAUAUUGUAAUCCAUAUAUCUAAAGGGUCUUUAAAUGAAAGAUUAAGAAGUACUAAUCUCAAUAAUUCUUUUAGUGAAGGUCCUAUGUCACGAUGAUACAUUUAACGGAAACCGCGUACCAUGCUUUUACCCUUCAAUCAAGGAAGACUAGAGAUUUAAAGAUCCUAACUUAUGGAAAAGUGAUUCAAAUUUAUAUAUCAUGAAUUUAAGUGUUUAAUAUAUCCAUUUUUUCUUUUUAUUUUAUUUUCUUUGUAUUUUUCUAAAAAAAUUUUGGAAAUCGAUCGUAACCGUAAGGAAUGAUACUUUUUGGAGUAAACUUCAAAACACAUUAUUGAAGCAUAAAUAUAGAUCUUAAAAAGCCAAAUUAAUUGCGGAGCAAUCCAAGUUCUUGUCCCACUUCCGUAGUUUAAAAUUUAAGUCCAAUUAUUUGAGGAGCAAUCCAAGUUCUUGUUCCACUCCCGUGGUUUAAAAUUUUGUGGGAGCGUUGAUGCUUCACGAUUACAAAGUUAUUAAAGAUAAAUAGUUUCUAAUUUUAAUAAUAGAAAAUAAUUUUUUUUUAAAUGAGAAAAAAAAAGGUUUGAUGACAAAGUUCGGAUUAAAAAUAAUUUUUUGAGAAUUUGUCAUGAAUAUCUUAUAGAAUAAAUUUGAGCUAUUUUUAAUUAUUAUUAUUAUUUUUUUUACAAAGUGUUAUAAAAAACGAUUAAAGAAAUAAGGAACGCUUUAAAAACAUUGGCAUUAUAUAAAAGUGUAUGAUACAUUUAAGCAAAAAUAAGUUGUGAAAACUGUUUUCUAUAAUUAAACUUUGUAACAAAAUUUCAUUCCUAAACCAAUUAAAAACAAUUUUUAACGCUGUCAAAUAAAUUGUAAUUUUCUUUUUUAAAACCUAGGCGACCAUUCAUGCAACCUUCACAUCCUUGUAGAAAUCAAGUGGGAUUAGCUAAAUGAUUUUAAUAUUAAAACUAUUGGAUGCCAGUUAAUUUUUAUAUAAAAUAGUCAAAACUUUAUCCAAUAAUAUCAUAGUUAAGAUUAUGAAUUUAGACAAGAAGGUUAAAGCCUAACCUAAAUUCUACAAUUUUAUUUAUAUUUUAUUUUUUCUAAGCUUCCCGAUGUAAAGUGGUAUUUCUCCCACGUGAAUUUGAUUGGUUGAUAUCUAAAUUUAUGAAAAAAAAAUUUGUACUUUUCAAAUAAAUUUUUAAAAUAAAAUUUAGAUUAUAAGAGUACGUUUUAUAGUGAUUUUAAAAAGUAUUUUUAAUUUAAUUUUUAAGUAUUAAAAAAUCAAAAACACUUUUUAAAAUAAGUACGAAACACAAUUUAACUCUCUUAAACAUUUGUUAAAAUUGACCUAUCAAUAAAUAAAUUAAAAAGCAAAUAACAAAAAAUUGAUCUCUCUUUCUUUUCUUCUUCUUUUUAUUUUUUAUUUUCAUUGCGUGCAAAUGGGAAUUUAAAAAAAUUACCGAAAGUUUGCGUGAGGUUUUUUAAAUUUUGUUGAAUAUAAGAUUCCCAUUAAGAUAGCGACCAAACACAUGUUAAAGGGCAAUUGCAUCCCCUUGUAAUACGUUUGACAAUAAAACAUCGAGAAGGGUAUCUACGCACCUAGGACUGAUAAUUUAUCAUGGAAAGCUUAUUUUAGUAAGGCGUUCACAUUCUGAAAUAUAAAAUUAUUGAAAUAAACAAGGCAAUAUUGUUGAACGUUGGAUCGAUGAAGCAGCUGACCGUGUUGGAUGUUGGUUAUCCACGCUUAGUCAUGGAAACAGUGACAUUUACGAACUCAGUCUUCUCUCUGGACAUGCGAUCAGCCACAAUCUUUUGGUACCUGCUGAACACUUCCUCUAUUAUUCCAUCACCGAAAUAGCUUACCAGCAAUGGCUCCGCCACUGCUCUCAUCAACUUGGCCACAUUGUACCCACCAUCUUCGUGAGCAUCUGAUGGGCAGAAUUCACCGUGAUACGCGUUCCAGUUGACUUCAGAAGCCUCCAGCCUAUUUAUGGUAAAGGAUCCUUCCUUUUCAACCUCACAUUUUACUUCAGCUGGGGAUGGUGUAUACUGAGGAAUAUUGAAGGAAUCCAUUUUCUCCUCCUCUACGAGCCCCUGCAUUUAAAAAUCUUUAAAUUACAUAUGCUAUUGCUGAAUGAUUUAAUCUAUACAACUUGGCAACAUUAAGGCUUGUAUGAAUUGAAUGUGCACCUCUGCCACCAUAUCGUUGAGAGCCACAGCUAAGAGCUCCCAAAUGUAGCAACAUUCUUUGCUAGAGGGAUCUUCACUUAUUCUUCCUAAAAAUGUUAAAACCAUACUCCCUCCUUCCAGUAGUUCCUCAGACCGACACCUGAGGAACAUGGAGAAAUCGGUUUGGAAUUGCUCAUAGUAUGCUUUAAGCACGCUUGGUGGGCUCGAACUUGCCAUGUAAAUGUUCCCUUUGUUACUCUCCAGUCCUCGAGGAACCUGAUGAACGAUUGAAACUUCUAACUUACAUGCUUUCUUCUUGGUUAAUACUAAAUCAUCAUAAACCAUUAUUUAAUUAAGGGCAAAAAGUCACCUGAGACAGCCAUUGGAGACUGUAAGAAGAAUGGACAAAAUGAAGACUUUUGCCCAGGAAGAGCCUGCCGUAGAAAGAACCUGGAACUCCGGUUACAAAACAUGAUUCAGCGCCUGCUCCCAUUGUUUUCUGAAGAUCUUUUUGGAAAGUGGGCAAGGAUUUGAAAAUGGUGUUGAAAUCAUUCCCCGGCAGAUCAUUCAAAAACACUUGAAUUUCGGGCAAUUCAUGCCCCAUUUUCUUGUGCACCUUGUCCACUGUAGUGACGAAUUCCAAGACUGCAAACAAAGUGUUGGGUCCAGAAGAACAACCCAAGUCUGCGAUACAUAGCCUGGCCGGAAAGUUGUUGCAGAAGAGAUUUGAUAUUGCUUCGUCGGUUAUGGGCUUUGUCAAGGAUAUUACUUUUUUCUGCACCAUUAAAGUAGAGUUUGUUAUUGAAAACUUUUAAAAAAAAACGGCAGUAUGUGACACCUGCAUGACAUAAAAACAAAACAUCGAAAAUACAUGGGUGCUAAUUAUCAAUCAGUAUGUCUCGACUAUACAUUCUUAUUCAAUAAAAGGAAGCAGCUCAUAUAUAUAACAUAUGCAUAAAUAUUGAUGAAGAAUUAAAUUCAGCAAACACACCUGAAGUAGUGAGUUUUGUGCGUAACUGGUAUCCCCAUUUCCUCCCUUCAUGCAAAGCACUUGCACUACUUCCAUCUCUCCCUUCCUCCCUCCUCGCUAAUUGCUCUCCCUCAGUUGGCAAUUGGAAUGUGAAUUGUGUUGAAGGAGAUGCUCCCUAUUUAUAGAGCUUGGAGUCAGGUCGUUGUGGAAUUAAUUAUUUCAUCUUCCAUGAACUCUACUUCCACGGAACCCCGCCAGUCAUUAUUGGUUGAUUAUUCAAGAGAGAAAGUUUUUGGGUUGUUGGGAUACAUAGUCCAAAUUAAAUCGGAAAAUUAACCUCUCCUUCCAAUUUUUGUGAGAAACGACCCACUUGGACACUUCUAUCCCUCUUUCAUCUACUUCCAAACAUUAUCUUCUCACUUAUUUUAUUCAUUAUAUAACACAUUUAUCUAUUUUAUUUUACUUUUUACUUUCAUAACUAUUUUAUUUCUCAAAUAACUUAUUCUCGCUUUCAUUUCAAAUGUUUAUUUAAUUUACAAAUUUAAUAAAUUUUAAUUUUUUAUUAAGGAUGUUCACUUGAACCAUAAGCGAGUUAAAUUUGACUUACAAAAAACUUAGGUGGUGUUUAUUUUUUUGGCUUUUUGCUUAAAACAAUUUAGCUUUAGAAUUUAGGUUGUUUGUUUUUCUAUUUUUUUAUGACUUAUUAUAAAUUUUUUAUUAAAUAGAAAAAGUCAAAAUAUGUAGCUUUUUCUAAAUAGAAAAAUAGUAUAUUGAUUUUUUUUACUUUUUAAUACUUAAUAGAAAUAAAAUACUACAAAAACAAACAAUCUAAUACUUAACACUAUUAAGUAUUAAGGUUCUAUUUAGAAUUAAGUAAAAAAACAAACACCACCUUAAUUAAGAUUAAAAUUUUCAAUUAUAAUAGAAACCUAAAUUAUAUCAUAAUUAAAUUUUAUUUACAAGUAAUUUAACUAGGGUUAAAAUUUCAUUUUAACUAAAAAUUAAUAACUUGAUUAUAAAGACGUAAACUAUAUAUAUUGUUGUUAAGUUUAAUUAAAAAGAACUUAAUUAAUGUUAAAUUUUUGUUUAAUCUAUAAAAAAAAUGUUUAAGAUUAGAUUCUUAAUUAAAAUAUUCAUCUGAACUAUAAAAAAUCCCAACAAAAAAAACUGUAAGAACAACCAAAAAAAACUUCAACCAAAAUCCCAACACAAAAGAAUCUCAACCAAAAUCCCAUCUGACAAAAAGCCCUAAUAAAAAAUAAUUACAAAAAACCCUACCUAAAAAUAAGUAUAAAAUAUCCUAACCAAGAUGUCACUGUUAAAAACCUAACCAAAAUCCCAACAAAAAAAACAUCUAUAAAAAACCACAAUAAAACAUCAACUAAAAAAAAUUAUAAAAAAUCUCAACAAAAAAAUUGCAAAAAUCCAAACAAAAAAAAUCACUAUAAAAAAAAUCACAAAAACCCUAACAAAAAAAUAAAGAAGAAGAUGAACGAUGUUAAGAAAAAGAAGGAUGAGAAAGUUGUGGCUGAUUUUUAUGGGUUGAUCUUUGUUAUGGAUUUUUUUAGAAAAUUCAUUCCCGAAGAAAACUAGUUUCAGAAAUGAGAGGGAAAUGUAAUUUUUGAGGAAAUAAAAAGGAUAAUAAUGUCCAAAAUAUGUCAUUUUUUCAAAGAAUAAAUGGGAGAUUAUUUUUCCAAUUUCAGAAGUAUCGGAACACUGAUGCUACAUGGUGGGUAGGACUCCUAACAUGCAUCUACCAGAACAGACUAUACGCAAUAUAACGCGCCUCAUGGCAUGCCGUUCGCCAAUGACUCGUGUGUCCCCUUAUGGUUCAUCUCCAGUCCUGGAGGCCUCAGGCUACCUACUGAAAGAGCAACAAGUAAAUCCUAUUGGUCAGAUGGGGAGGAUCCUACAUGAUAGCGUGAGGUUCGUUUUACAGUAUUCUAGCUUAAUACAAUAUGUUUAAGAAAAAACUAAAAUUAUUUGUCACUCCUAGAUUUGUAUGUCAAACUAACAUUACAUAGAAACAGAUUAAUAAAUCAGUCCAUGUGUAGCUGGCGUUUCAUCAGGUACUGAUCAUUAUUGGGCGGUGUUGGCUUCAUAUAUUAAAAUGAUGACACGUACCAAGCGAAAUAAGAUAAGUUCUAGCUUUUUCCUAUUAAAAAAAUGUGACGUUGAUGUUUCAUAUGAUUCAUAUAUAUCUACUCAAAUAAUUACACACACAAAAAAAAUUAAAAUUAAAAUUAAAAUUAAAAUGGGUCUACUUACUUCCUUUGCGUACACGAAAUUUAAAGCAAGUGACAAUUGACAAAAACAAUACUCGUAGCGUGGCCAUGAAACACGAUGCUGAAAAAGUAGGGGUAGUAGAAGGUGACGCUGGGUGCAUGAGUUGGCCACUAGUAUUACCAUAGCCCGGUCCGCUUAAAACAAAUUGGGAUUAGAUACAGCAGCCACAGAAUACUGAUGGUAGCGUGACGCUUUCUUAACAACCCUGCAAACGUUUCUUAGCUGACGUUUCCAUGCAUGACGCAGCCUCAUUUUUUCUUUAACAUAAUGUGAAGACCAUGUCCUUGCCGUCUCUUUCAAAAUAAUAUUCAAUCAAAGAUGCCGACCGACUGAAUUACUUUAGUUGAAAAAUAGGUAUGUAUAAAAAGCUAUGCGCUUGUAGGAAAGACCUGAUCCACCGAAUGGACCAGGUCUAGUUCUGAUCCCAUGAAUAUUAGUGUAUCAGUUGGCAUCUUAUUUUGGUUAAUAAUUUUUUUUUCAUUUAUUCUAAGGAAAACUAGUUUUCUUCAAUUAAGCCAGAUAAUUAUCCUUUUCUACAGUGUUUUCAUAACAAUGGGAGGUACAAAGACAGUGUGAGAAAUCUUAAUUUGAAUCCAAUUUCUAUCAUCCAAAAAAUAAAUCAAUGACCGCCCAUCUUACAAUCAUUUUGAAUGAUCAAUUGACACACAUUAUGAUAUCCAUAAAUAAGAACGAGUAAACACGUGUUUUUUGACAACUACAUAGUUCCUUGGUUGAGGAGCCUAAUGUGAUACCUAAAUUAGCCUUCACAAUUAAUUCAACCAUGAGGUGUAGGUUCUAAAGGCUUUCAAAGCCAAGGUGACUAACUAGUUAGUAGGUGUGACACAUAUUUUUCACAUGCAUCUUUAUGCAAUGGCUAGAUUGUUACAUUGGAUUUGGAAAAUAAUUUAUGUUUUGGGGUGACUAUUAUUUAUUUAAAAUUUGAUUUUUAUUUGUUUUUGUAAUCACCCUUAUUUUAUUUAUUUUUUAAAGCAAAAAAUAAAACAAUAAAGAAAAAUAUCAAUUAAUAAUAGAAAAAACAUAUUAACAGAUGGAGAAUGGAUUAUGGGGUCAAGUUAUCUUGUGGGAAGGUAUUAGGAAUGUCAAUAUGGCAUGAUUAUAACAUAUUUGUUGGGAGUUAAUAGAAAUUCUAGAGAGUAUUCACUUGCAAAUGUUUAACAAAUCCUCCACAAUAAUAACAAUCUCCCAAGAGAGAACAAUAAUAGUGUAAGAACAUCCAAGUAAAAUGAGACCAAAUAUAACAUGGAAAAAUCCUCCUAAGAGAGAUAAAAAACUAUGGAAAAAAUUUCUUCUAAUUCGAUAAAAAUAGAACACAAAUAAAUUCCCAUUAGUUUAUUCAUCUUGAUAACUAGUUGAAAUAUAUAUUAAUUUUGAGGUGGAAUCCAUCACCUUAAAAAAAACAAAGAUCAUAGGAAAAGAAUAAAAGUGUUAAGAUAGAGUUAUUGAAAGUAUAACAUGAUGUAACAAAAUAAAAUUUCAUUAAUAUAUUUAUUUACUAUGAUUUCUAGUUCUCAUUUUAUAUUUUUUAUUACAUUAAUUAGUUGUUUAAACAUUUACACAUAUAUCACUUAUAUUGUACAUGACUUUAUUGUAUUAAGAGUUGUAUAAAUAAUUCAAGUCAUGAGUUCCUUAUAAGAUGAUGAGAAGUUCAUAAUUGGUUUGUGAAAUUAAGCAAUUUGUAAAAGAAUAUAGUGCACUACUUUCUAAUUAGAGAGAUUACUUGUUUUGAUCAUCAUGAUAGUUUUUUUAUGAUUAAUGCACUAGUAUGCAUAAUUACAUAUUAGACAAGGGUUAUGAUGAAUCAUGACUUUGGUUAUUAGGUAAUCAUAGGUCAUCAAAUUACUGUGUUACAUAGGUUCUCAAUCUUAGAGAAUGUGAACUAGAAGCAUGAACUAAGUGCUUAUCUGCAAAUGUGUGCAUUUAUGUACAACAUUGAAGCAAUACCACAACAAGGAUUUUAUAGCAUGGGUUGAGUAGGAUAUUGAAGUAUAGGAAGGUAGCUAGACCUUUUUAGAGAAUUAUUCUUGGUAUUGGAAAGGGUACUUACCCAUGGCAUGAUAAUUGGCAUCCAAUAGACAAUUUUUCUUUUAGGUUUUCUCUAAGAAAUUUUCAAGUCCUUAAUCCUGAUCAAGCAAAAGUGGACUCUCUAAUAACUAAAGGGACUUGAAAAUAGUCAAUUGGUAGAGGAGUUUAUGCCAACGUUGGGGGUAUCAUUGAUACUAUUCUAGCUUAUUUUUUACCUUAGUUGCAAUAAGAAGAUGAUCAAGUUUUCUUGACACCCACAAUUCACUACAUCUUCCUAUUCAACUGAGUAUUUUAGUAUGAUUAAUUAUACAUGUACAUUAGGCUUGACAAUCCAAGAUGUACUCUUUUGAUAUGUAUCUAAUUUAACUUUUAAUUCAAAGUUCAUUAUACUUUUCUUUUUCUAAAAGAUGCAAAGACUUUUUUUUUUUUUUUUCACAUUAUCAUGAUUAUUUAAAAAAAAAAUAGCCUUUAAACAUAACAAAAGCUUGAAUUAAAAGUUAAAAUAAGGAGCAUUCAAUUGAAGCAUGAGGUGUUAGAUCGACACCUUAUCUGCAUCAUAUCUCAUGUCUGGACCCCAUGUUGAAUUAUUGCCUUCACUUCCUUUUUUUUUUUUUUUUUUUGUUCUCUUUAUUUCCUUUGGUAGUGAUACUCCUUUUCUUAGUUAAUGAAAACUCCUUUGGUACUGAUAUUCCUUUUCUUAAUGAAAACCCAAGUGUCAUGAGAAUAUCUUCUAAUUUUAUAUAAAAUAUAUAUAAAGGAAAGAAAAUGCCCUUGUACGAUUAUAUUAAUUUUUCUCAUAGCUCUUCCUAGUCUAAAGUAUUAUUUUUCCGUAAGCAUUUGAUUGGUCAGUAUCUAAUUAAAUUUAUUAAUGAAAAUUUUAUGCUUCCCAAAUUAAUUUCUAAAAUGAGACGGACAUGAUGAGAUUAUUUAAAAAGAGAGUCUCUACAUAAAUAGGGUUGAUAAUUGAUCAUGGAAAGCUUAUUUAGUAAGACGUACAUACGUGCUCUGAAAUGUAAAAUUAUAAUUGAAGCAGCCAUUUUGAAAGAUGGAUCGAUGAAGCAGCUGACCGUGUUGAAUGUUGGUUAUCCACGCUUAGUCAUGGAGACAGUGACAUUUACGAACUCAGUCUUCUCUCUGGACAUGCGAUCAGCCACAAUCUUUUGGUACCUGCUGAACACUUCCUCUAUUAUUCCAUCACCGAAAUGGCUUACAAGCAAUGGCUCCGCCACUGCUCUCAUCAACUUAGCCACAUUGUACCCACCAUCUUUAUGAGCAUCUGAUGGGCAGAAUUCACCGUGAUACGCGUUCCAGUUAACUUCAGAAACCUCCAGCUUACUUAUGGUAAAGGAUCCUUCCUUUUCAACCUCACAUUUUACUUCAGCUGGGGAUGGUGUAUAUUGAGGAAUAUUGAAGGAAUCCAUUUUUUCCUCCUCUAUGAGCCCCUGCAUUUAAACAUCGUUAAAUUACAUAUGCCAUUGCUGAAUGAUUUAAUCUAUACAAAUUUGGCAACAUUAAGGCAUGUAGAAAUUGAAUGUGCACCUCUGCCACCAUAUCGUUGAGAGCCACAGCUAAGAGCUCCCAAAUGUAGCAACAUUCUUUGCUAGAGGGAUCUUCACUUCUUCUUCCUAAAAAUGUUAAAACCAUACUCCCUCCUUCUAGAAGUUCCUCCGACCGACACCUGAGGAACAUGGAGAAAUCGGUUCGGAAUUGCUC
rnacentral:lncRNA from 1 species